GCGAGGACCAACUCAAGGGUUUCACCUGUGUUGUUGGUAUACUGGCGCCAAGAAUGGAGCACCUUAACCUGGACACGCCAAGAUGUCUUGUAUGGUCUGACAUCUCUUAACAUUGCAAAUUGGGAAGCCAUUGGUGAAGGUAAAUAAAGAAAAUUUUAUUAUCUGAUAUAUUGCUAUUGGGAAAUGAGAGAUUGUGUGAAUAGAGACGAUGGGAAUGAGCGGCUAUUUAUAUAGUUUGAAUUAGUAGGUUCCAUUAGGUUUAGGCGAAUAUUAUAAAAUCCUUGAUGAUCAAGGAUUAAAUAUAUUGCGUGAUCUUAAUUAUUGGAAUAAAAGAGAAUAUGCUAGGUUAAUUUCUGCGAGAAUAUAGAUGAAAUCUCUUCUAUAUUAACUAUUUUCCAACUCAAUAAGAUCACUCCGAGAUACAUGCUUCAGUUGAUAGAAAGAAAUGAUAAAUGGAGUAGUUACUAUUGCGUUAUAAUAGGGAAGAUUAGAUAUGCUAUGAAUGUUUGCUUCUUGAUUGGUGUAACUGGAAAUAUUUUGUGUAUCUUUAACUGAGAUUGAAUUGAGAAACUUAAUCAUUUCUGCCAUGAAUGUAGGUCGCCGCAACUAAGGAAAGAUUUGGUGAAAAAAAUCGGAGCAAACUAUCAAAUUUGGUAAGAUCCGAAUGUCUAGUAAGCGGGUC
rnacentral:lncRNA from 1 species